rnacentral:rRNA from 1 species
GUAGGUGGCAAGCGUUGUCCGGAAUUAUUGGGGCGUAAAGCGCGCGCAGGCGGUUCUUUAAGUCUGAUGUGAAAAGCCCCACGGGCUCAACCGUGGGAGGGUCAUUGGAAACUGGAGAAACUUGAGUACAGAAGAGGAAAGCGGAAUUCCACGUGUAGCGGUGAAAUGCGUAGAGAUGUGGAGGAACACCAGUGGCGAAGGCGGCUUUCUGGUCUGUAACUGACGCUGAGGCGCGAAAGCGUGGGGAGCAAACAGGAUUAGAUACCCUGGUAGUCCACGCCGUAAACGAUGAGUGCUAAGUGUUAGGGGGUUUCCGCCCCUUAGUGCUGCAGCUAACGCAUUAAGCACUCCGCCUGGGGAGUACGGCCGCAAAGGCUG